rnacentral:misc_RNA from 1 species
UCUCCGUAGGUGAACCUGCGGAGGGAUCAUUACCAGAGAUGGCGGGCUUUGGCCCCCGUCCUCAACCCUUUGUUGACCAAAACCCUUUUGCCUCGGGGGCAGAGCGUCCGCCGCCGCCCCCGGAGGACCACCGAACGCUGUCUCUGUACGUCGGAGUAUUGAUUAAAUGAAUGAAAACUUUCAACAACGGAUCUCUUGGUUCUG